GACAAAUUCUUGUACUCAAUCCAUAUAACAAAUGAUAAAAUUCAUUUAAGUCAGAUUACAAUAACUAAAUACACAUAAAAAUACUAUGCAGGGAACUUGCGAUAUACAUAAUUGUCCAGACUCACUUUCCACUUUGCUUAAUUAUGAUCCAAAGAACUGCUGAAGUAAGCUUGAAACCAUUCCCAUGAGAGCAUUUUGAUACUUCCAACUAUAUCCAAAUCACGUAGAAUUUCUUCUUGAAACAAGAUGUUAUUUCUGCAUAACCAAAGAACCCAACAAGUAACAGGCCAAAAAAGUAAAGUUUUCCUACAAAUUGUGUUUUGAUCAUUUUGCAAAAUAGAAACAGUAGAGAGGAAAUAGACCAUGCAUUAUUCACCUCUACAAUCCCGAGCCAACCAACUUCUAAACCUGCUUGCUAACCACAUAACCUACAAACAAGUGAAUUUCAUCAUCUUCUUCUAAAAAGCAUAAAUGACAUACCAAGUUAUGUCUACCUUCAAUAAUCCCUCGUUUCUAUCGUUGAAUCCUACUUGGAAUCCGACUGAGAAUGAGUCUCCAUCUGAAGGCAUGUACUCUGUUUAACAUCUUGGUUUUCUACACCUUAUCCAACCCUCUAAAUUUAUCUUCCUCUAAAUUCAACUCAUUAUUACAUAACAAUGGUAGAACAUGUGGAACCUUGUUUUACAGGUGACAUGAAUUUGACAAGGACAACAUCUUUGGUUUGAGUUUUGAUGAUGAUAACGUAUUCAUGAUGACAAUCUAUUUAUCAA
rnacentral:lncRNA from 1 species